rnacentral:rRNA from 1 species
ACUCUGUUGUUGGAGAAGAACGUAUUUGAUAGUAACUGAUCAGGUAGUGACGGUAUCCAACCAGAAAGCCACGGCUAACUACGUGCCAGCAGCCGCGGUAAUACGUAGGUGGCAAGCGUUGUCCGGAUUUAUUGGGCGUAAAGCGAGCGCAGGCGGUUUCUUAAGUCUGAUGUGAAAGCCUUCGGCUCAACCGAAGAAGUGCAUCGGAAACUGGGAAACUUGAGUGCAGAAGAGGACAGUGGAACUCCAUGUGUAGCGGUG